rnacentral:lncRNA from 10 species
CCGCCCCUUCCCGCCGCCGGCCCCUGAGCGGCCGCCCCAAACCUGCCCGGGGCUCCUUCUCCCCUUCGGCCCCGAUUCCCCUUUCCCACUAGGGCUCCCCUCUGUUCACUGGCUCUCCUCACCCUAAGUCUGCAGCCACCAGGACCAGGGAGGGGGUGGGUUGCGGGGGUCCUCCUUCCUGCCCCUUGGCUCACCUUCCCCCAUCCACGCACCAGGAGCGGAGAGCCCGGAACUAAGAACUGUAGACCCAGAGAGGUGAGACUGGCCCCAAGCACCUGGGUCCUCAAGAAGAGUCACCGUUUCCGUGCCAGGAGGAUCCAAGGUGGGGAAACUGAGGCUGAGAGAGAAGGACGUUGACCAAGGUCACAGGGCAGGAGCAGCAGAGACAGAGUCUCGCUAUGUUGCUCAGACUGGUCUCCAACUUCUGGCUCAAGCGAUCCUCCUGCCUUGACCUCGCUAAGUGCUGGGAUUACCGAAUGGGAGCCACCAUGCCCAGUCUUUACUCAAAAUUCACCUUCUCCCUGGGUCUUCUCUGGAGACCCUAGCUUUAAAAAUAAACAAGUAAAAGACAAACCUUGCCCUUCUCCUAGUGACACCGCAGACUCCUUCCUUGCCUGGGGCUGGGUUUUGCUCGCUGCUGCGUCCCUGGUUUUGGGGUACACAGAGGAUGCUCGUACUUAGUUGUGGGAUGGAUGAAGAGCUAGGGACUGCCUGCAGGAGCGGCCCUGGUAGGCAGGGCCAGGUGGGGGGCAGGUUUGUGGGUUUGGGGACAGGAGUGGUGGCUGAGACGCCCCUGGCUGUGAACCUUUUUCUUCCGGCUGCCCCAGCUCCCACCUGUCCCCCACCCAUCCCCCCGGCAGCAGCUCAGUCAGGAGGCAGCACCCCAGCGACCUACAUCAGCACGUUGCAUGGCGAAGUGGAGGGGCUGGGGAGAUAAAAAUCUCUGUCCUCCUGCCAAAUGCCACAGAGCCGCACCACCUCAGACCUUCCUGGCUGUCAGUCUGACCUCCACUCCCCUUCAGCCAGGUCACCCUGUGGCCUCCAGCUGCCUCCUUCAGGCUCCUGCCAUCUGGGGGAUGGGGGUGAGGUUGGGGCCCCAAGAAGACCCCUGUUCCCAGGCAGGUGUCCAUGCCUGACAUCCCACAGAGGGGGUUGCACCCGAGCCCAGAAAUACCCUGCCCAGCUGCCCGG